rnacentral:rRNA from 1 species
GAUGAACGCUGGCGGCGUGCCUAAUACAUGCAAGUCGAGCGAACAGACGAGGAGCUUGCUCCUCUGACGUUAGCGGCGGACGGGUGAGUAACACGUGGAUAACCUACCUAUAAGACUGGGAUAACUUCGGGAAACCGGAUCUAAUACCGGAUCAUAUAUCGAACCGCAUGGUUCAAUAGUGAAAGACGCUUUUGCUGUCACUUUUAGAUGGAUCCGCGCCGCAUUAGCUAGUUGGUAAGGUAACGGCUUACCAAGGCAACGAUGCGUAGCCGACCUGAGAGGGUGAUCGGCCACACUGGAACUGAGACACGGUCCAGACUCCUACGGGAGGCAGCAGUAGGGAAUCUUCCGCAAUGGGCGAAAGCCUGACGGAGCAACGCCGCGUGAGUGAUGAAGGUCUUCGGAUCGUAAAACUCUGUUAUUAGGGAAGAAAAAAUGUGUAAGUAACUAUGCACGUCUUGACGGUACCUAAUCAGAAAGCCACGGCUAACUACGUG